rnacentral:rRNA from 1 species
UACGAAGGGGGCUAGCGUUGCUCGGAAUCACUGGGCGUAAAGGGUGCGUAGGCGGGUCUUUAAGUCAGAGGUGAAAUCCUGGAGCUCAACUCCAGAACUGCCUUUGAUACUGAGGAUCUUGAGUUCGGGAGAGGUGAGUGGAACUGCGAGUGUAGAGGUGAAAUUCGUAGAUAUUCGCAAGAACACCAGUGGCGAAGGCGGCUCACUGGCCCAAUACUGACGCUGAGGCACGAAAGCGUGGGGAGCAAACAGG